AGUGAACGCUGGCGGUAGGCCUAACACAUGCAAGUCGAACGGCAGCACAGUAAGAGCUUGCUCGUACGGGUGGCGAGUGGCGGACGGGUGAGGAAUCCAUCGGAAUCUACUUUUUCGUGGGGGAUAACGUCGGGAAACUUACGCUAAUACCGCAUACGACCUACGGGUGAAAGCAGGGGAUCUUCGGACCUUGCGCGAUUGAAUGAGCCGAUGUCGGAUUAGCUAGUUGGCGGGGUAAAGGCCCACCAAGGCGACGAUCCGUAGCUGGUCUGAGAGGAUGAUCAGCCACACUGGAACUGAGACACGGUCCAGACUCCUACGGGAGGCAGCAGUGGGGAAUAUUGGACAAUGGGCGCAAGCCUGAUCCAGCAAUACCGCGUGGGUGAAGAAGGCCUUCGGGUUGUAAAGCCCUUUUGUUGGGAAAGAAAAGCAGCAGGUUAAUACCCCGCUGUGCUGACGGUACCCAAAGAAUAAGCACCGGCUAACUUCGUG
rnacentral:rRNA from 1 species